AGAUGUGAGGGCGAUCUGGCUGCAACGUGUGUCACCCCACUGAUCGCCAGGGCAGACUCGGCUGAUCUGGCUGGCUAGGCGAGUGUCCUCUUCCUCCCUCACCGUUCCAUGUGCGUCCCUCAAAGCUGCACGCUUGGUGGAAGAGAAAGACCACCCUGAUAGAGGAGGACCGUUUCCUUGGUCAAGGGUGUAGGAGUAGCUGCGCUCCUCUGCUAGAACCUCCAAACAUUUGAUGCUUAUCCUUGAAAACGCUCCUCUGUUUUCUGUCCCCUUAUGAAUGUGCAUUACCCACUUGAGUAAAUUCCUCAU
rnacentral:snRNA from 1 species